CAGCAGCCGCGGUAAUACGUAGGGUCCGAGCGUUGUCCGGAAUUAUUGGGCGUAAAGAGCUCGUAGGCGGUCUGUCGCGUCUGCCGUGAAAUCCUCAGGCUCAACCUGAGGCGUGCGGUGGGUACGGGCAGGCUAGAGUGCGGUAGGGGAGAAUGGAACUCCUGGUGUAGCGGUGGAAUGCGCAGAUAUCAGGAAGAACACCGAUGGCGAAGGCAGUUCUCUGGGCCGUAACUGACGCUGAGGAGCGAAAGCGUGGGGAGCGAACAGGAUUAGAGACCCGAGUAGUCCCUGUCUCUUAUAC
rnacentral:rRNA from 1 species